UGACAAAAAAUGAAAAAGGAGUUUUAACUCCUUCGAAUAAAUUCAUCAAGCGAAUAAAGAAUACUCCGGAUUUGCAUGACGAAAGUUUGGCCAGAGAAUAUUUCAAUGAAAAUGAGUGAAGCGUAAAUUUACUAUUGACAAUUUAUAAUACAUAUAUUUCGUACAGUUCACGAGGAAUAUCUGCUAAAACCUGUGACCCUCAAUGAAUUCAAAGUGAAUUCUAAGUUUCGAGUUUCAACCACUUGUAACAUCUGAUAAGGUAAGACACCUAAACAAUUUUUUUUUCGAUAAAUUCAUUUUUGAUUUUUAACUUCAGUUAGAAUUGUUAAUGAAGAGAAAUAUAGACGGUCUCGUUCUAAUUACAUAUGGAUCUGGCAACAUUCCCACAAAUGACAAAUUCAUUCAAAUCCUUAAGGAUGCUGUAGAAAGUGGCAUUAUCAUUGUAAAUGUUAGCAAGUGUCAUCAUGGUUCUGUAAAUCCCACUUACGAAACAGGAAUGAUUUGCGAGGAUAUUGGUAUUCUGCCAG